rnacentral:rRNA from 1 species
GCGUCUGAUUAGCUAGUUGGUAAGGUAAUGGCUUACCAAGGCAACGAUCAGUAGCCGACCUGAGAGGGUGAUCGGCCACACUGGAACUGAGACACGGUCCAGACUCCUACGGGAGGCAGCAGUGGGGAAUAUUGCACAAUGGGCGAAAGCCUGAUGCAGCAACGCCGCGUGAGCGAUGAAGGCCUUCGGGUCGUAAAGCUCUGUCCUCAAGGAAGAUAAUGACGGUACUUGAGGAGGAAGCCCCGGCUAACUAC